AAAACGGCUCUUUUAAGAGCUACCAAAUCUAUGAAGGAAUAUGAG
rnacentral:ncRNA from 1 species